CGUUGAAAUACAGGUUCUCGUGCGAUCAUAGACGUUAAGCAACAUCGAGCCUUGUCAGUACCUAGAUGGGUGACCCUUGGGAAUAUCAGGUGAUGUAAU